GAUGAACGCUGGCGGCGUGCCUAAUACAUGCAAGUCGAGCGAACAGACGAGGAGCUUGCUCCUCUGACGUUAGCGGCGGACGGGUGAGUAACACGUGGAUAACCUACCUAUAAGACUGGGAUAACUUCGGGAAACCGGAGCUAAUACCGGAUAAUAUAUUGAACCGCAUGGUUCAAUAGUGAAAGACGGUUUUGCUGUCACUUAUAGAUGGAUCCGCGCCGCAUUAGCUAGUUGGUAAGGUAACGGCUUACCAAGGCAACGAUGCGUAGCCGACCUGAGAGGGUGAUCGGCCACACUGGAACUGAGACACGGUCCAGACUCCUACGGGAGGCAGCAUUAGGGAAUCUUCCGCAAUGGGCGAAAGCCUGACGGAGCAACGCCGCGUGAGUGAUGAAGGUCUUCGGUUCGUAAAACUCUGUUAUUAGGGAAGAACAAAUGUGUAAGUAACUAUGCACGUCUUGACGGUACCUAAUCAGAAAGCCACGGCUAACUACGUG
rnacentral:rRNA from 1 species